rnacentral:piRNA from 1 species
UUGCUCUUGAUAUUCGCUUUUAUCAGGAUC